AAGGAAUAUUGGACAAUGGCCGCAAGGCUGAUCCAGCCAUGCCGCGUGCAGGAAGACGGACCUAUGGUUUGUAAACUGCUUUUGAACUAGAGAAAACCCCUUUACGUGUAAAGGGCUGAUAGUAUAGUUAGAAUAAGCAUCGGCUAACUUCGUGCCAGCAGCCGCGGUAAGACGAAGGAUGCAAGCGUUAUCCGGAUUCAUUGGGUUUAAAGGGAGCGUAGGCGGACUUGUAAGUCAGUGGUGAAAUCUUUGGGCUUAACCCAGAAACUGCCAUUGAUACUGCAGGUCUAGAGUACAGUUGCCGUUGGCGGAAUAUGACAUGUAGUGGUGAAAUACUUAGAUAUGUCAUAGAACACCGAUUGCGAAGGCAGCUAACGAAGCUGUAACUGACGCUGAGGCUCGAAAGUGCGGGGAUCAAAC
rnacentral:rRNA from 1 species